GAGUCAAAAAGACCGCGAAACCGUUAGGAGGGAAACGAUGCAAGCUGAAGUGGCUCCGUAUCAGGUUCAGGGGAUGUAGGCGGAUGUUCCGGGCGGAGGUAGCGAAAGCGCCCCCGGCCGGAUAGGCCGCCGACUUCUCUGCACUCCCGUUGGGAGCCGGCCAACAGCAGUUGCUUCUGGCCCAGAAGGUCAGUCGGGAGGUGCCCCUGCACUCGUGCAGGGAACGUACAGCCGGCGGUCCGGUGGUCUGGGAGCGACUGAGGAGAGUCGUGAACUUUCACGUGUGCAGCGCAGGCCCUCUCGGGCCGGGUCUCCUCUGUUCGUUUGGGCCCCGCGGCGGCGACUGCUUGCAGUGGCCGUUGACGGUGAGUCCGCUCGGGCGGGGGAAGGGCCACGCCGUGCGCUCCGGUUGUUGGUGCUCAAAUGGCUGCAUC
rnacentral:rRNA from 1 species